rnacentral:lncRNA from 1 species
GCGCGCAGCCGGCCGCCCUCAACCGCUCCCAGCAUCGGUUGCCGGUGGUUCGGGGCAGGGAGACGACGCAGCGCGAGCGGAAAGGGCGGUUACCCAACGGCCUUAGCUCUCAUGGCGUCCUCCGUGGUGUUACCUAAAAAUAAAGUUAUUUGUGAUUAGAAGAAGUUUUCAUGGGCUGAGCUGCUGACUUCAGCCUGGGAACUGAGGCCAACAUCGGAGUCUCCUCGGCACACAAGUUUGAAAGAAGUCCUAGUGACUUCAAGCUCAGAACCAUGGACGGCAGGGCUCCCUCUGGAUGUGGAAUUCUCCGUCCCUUUCCAGGGAGGGAACAAAGCCCACAAGCACCGAGACUCCUUCAGGGUGAGCAAAGGCCUGGAAAAACCUGUAUGCAGAUAAAGAAAAGGAAAGAAAGAGAUAAUCAGUGCAUGCAGUUGUCAGCUGGCUGGGACCUGAGGAGAGUCACUUGUGGAGGCAACUGGUCUUUAUCCCCAUUGUCCGGUACAAGGCAGGCAUUAAUCCUGUGAUCCUUAUCUGAAGCUCAGGUUUGAUUUUAUUCUUUUCUUAAGUACCUACUGUUAUCCCCAAGCUUAUAAUAAUAGUUUAAUUGUUACAGCCAGUAUCUCACCUUCAGAAGUAAGAUGCUUAGGAAACCAAGACAAGGAACUGUGUGUUGCAAACAGCAUCACCCUGGAGAAGAGGUGGCAGGAGGUGACCUACAGAAAAUGGAGUAAUAGCCUAGAGCAAGAAACACAGAACAAAAGAGAAAUGAGGGGUUAGGCAACCUCCUGGAGCACCAAUGGGACAAGCACAUAUUCAGGGGCCUCCUAACAGACUCGACUUCCAGCAUCCUCAGAUGGUGCUAGACACGUUACAUAGACGUUCAAGAGUAGAGAACUCAGGGACUUCUGAUUUAUAUCAAGAAAUGCAUACACAGCAGACGUGUGCCUGUGGAGUGGAAUUCUGGAAAAGCUCACAGCCCAGAACAUAAUGCAGACUCCCCCAGCCACAGCACCUUCCAAACCUGAGAAGAGUGCUGAUUCUCCAUCUGAGCACCCAUUCUCCUGCAACAUCAGGGGAGAGGAUUUCACCUAAGGGUCAGACCAGCAUCUCCAAACCCAGCUCCCCACCUUUGCCUGUUGGUGGCACUUGUGGGAGAAGGGGAGAUGGUAUGAAAAGAGCCACAACAGGAGUCACCUGGACAGGGUGGAGCUUGAUGGAAACUGACAUUUGUGCCCAUUGGAGGCAAAUGUAGAAUUUGGUAUCUUCCGUAGCGUCAGGCACAUGAAACUCUCCAGUGCCCAUGACUUUUGACAGUGACUUCAGAGCACAUCUGGGAGACCCAUGUGGCCCAGGCUCCACACAGGCAGGAGCUCAGCUUCACUCACAGCAGGAUUCCUAGUGCCAAGAACACCAUAGGUGCAUAGCAGGUGAUCAAAAUAAUUGUAUGUGGCUGAAUCAGUGAGAGGUAAGAGAGAGGACUUGAUCCUAGCUGCAAACUAAGAGACCUCAUUAAAACCUAACAUGUGGCUGGGUGUGGUGGCUCACGCCUGUAAGCCCAGCACUUUGGGAGGCCGAGGGGUGGAUCACCUGAGGUCAGGAGUUCAAGACAAGCCUGGCCAACGUGGUGAAAACCCAUCUCUACUAAAUAUACAAAAAAUUGGCUGGGCAUGGUGGCAGGUGCCUGUAAUCCCAGCUACUUGGGAGGCUGAGGCAGGAGAAUCACUUGAACCCAGGAGGCGGAGGUUGCAGUGAGCCGAGAUUGCACCACUAUACUCCAGCCUGGCAAUAAGAGCAAAAGUCCGUCUCAAAA